UACGUAGGGUCCGAGCGUUGUCCGGAAUUACUGGGCGUAAAGAGCUCGUAGGUGGUUUGUCGCGUUGUUCGUGAAAACUCACAGCUCAACUGUGGGCGUGCAGGCGAUACGGGCAGACUAGAGUACUGCAGGGGAGACUGGAAUUCCUGGUGUAGCGGUGGAAUGCGCAGAUAUCAGGAGGAACACCGGUGGCGAAGGCGGGUCUCUGGGCAGUAACUGACGCUGAGGAGCGAAAGCGUGGGGAGCGAACAGG
rnacentral:rRNA from 1 species